CAAGUACUCCUUGAGGUGAGUAGAUAAAAAUCAGUGGUUUCGAAGAGACAAAAAUUCAGAGGUGUGUGGGUCCAUUUUGUCAUCCCUAGGAGUAAGACCUUCACUCUGAAGAAGCCAAAAACUCUCCCCAUGAAGCAAAGGAGAGUGUUCCAAGCUCCUGACCUGAGAGGGGUGCUAGAAGCCUUUACUGAACUGACAGAUGUGCGACGCUACUGGGUUGAAGGAAAGCUUUUCAACAACUUUUAUUGAAGACCUUGAAUAGAAGUCAUUCACUACAGAAUGAAUCCUCAGAGGUCUGUCUGUUUACCCGUGAUGUUUGUUAUUCAUCAAGGAGUGAAGAAGAAAAUAUUGAAUGUGGGUUUUAAUUGAUUUCUUAGAGAGAGAGGAAGGGAGAGGUAGAGAGAGAU